CCCUCCAUAGCUCAAUGGCAGAGCGUUCGGCUGUAGACCGAAAGGUUCCCAGUUCAAAUCUGGGUGGGGGGA
rnacentral:tRNA from 1 species